rnacentral:rRNA from 1 species
AACGCUAGCUACAGGCUUAACACAUGCAAGUCGCGGGGCAGCAUGAAUUUAGCUUGCUAAAUUUGAUGGCGACCGGCGCACGGGUGAGUAACGCGUAUCCAACCUUCCCCUGUCCACGGGAUAGCCCGUCGAAAGGCGGAUUAAUACCGUAUGAGGUCACACGAUGGCAUCAGACUGUGACGAAAGGUUUUGCGGACAGGGAUGGGGAUGCGUCCGAUUAGCUUGUUGGCGGGGUAACGGCCCACCAAGGCUACGAUCGGUAGGGGUUCUGAGAGGAAGGUCCCCCACAUUGGAACUGAGACACGGUCCAAACUCCUACGGGAGGCAGCAGUGAGGAAUAUUGGUCAAUGGACGUAAGUCUGAACCAGCCAAGUAGCGUGCAGGAUGACGGCCCUAUGGGUUGUAAACUGCUUUUAUGCGGGGAUAAAGUGAGGGACGUGUCCCUUUUUGUAGGUACCGCAUGAAUAAGGACCGGCUAAUUCCGUGCCAGCAGCCGCGGUAAUACGGAAGGUCCGGGCGUUAUCCGGAUUUAUUGGGUUUAAAGGGAGCGUAGGCCGCUGUUUAAGCGUGUUGUGAAAAACCGGGGCUCAACUCCGGUCGUGCAGCGCGAACUGGACGGCUUGAGUGCGCGGUAAGUGGGCGGAAUUUGUGGUGUAGCGGUGAAAUGCUUAGAUAUCACGAAGAACUCCGAUUG